rnacentral:piRNA from 1 species
AACAGCAGCUGAGCAACCUUGAACAUAGA